ensembl:lncRNA
GAGGGUUUCGCGAGUUCAGAUCCUGGGCACGGACAUGGCACCGCUCGUCAGGCCACGUUGAGGUGGCAUCCCACAUGCCACAACUAGAAGGACCUGCAACUAAGAUAUACAACUAUGUACCGGGGGGAUUUGGGGAGAUAAAUCAAAAGAAAAAAAAAAGAUUGGCAACGGUUGUUAGCUCAGGUGCCAAUCUUUAAAAAAAAAGAAAGAAAGGCCUGCUUGCAAGGUUGGCCCAUGGCUAAAUCUGGGAACUACUAUUUCACGGGUAUUCCCACCCUUCAGGGCGAGGAGGAAAGGGGAAGAGUGCACCCCUCAUGGGAGGGAGAGAUCAUAAGGAAGCCUGCACAUGGAUCCCACCAGACUCCACCUGUGUCUUUUCCCUUUCUGGUCCAGCUGUGUAGCCUCGCUACAUCACUAUAAAUCAUCUUAGCUGUGACUACAACUACAUGCAAGUGCUGUGAGACCAUAACUGCUCCUGGAAGCUUUCCCCUCUUUCUGAAGAAAAAUUCUUGUGCUGCCUUCACAAGCUGCUUGGAGCCACUUCAGAUUCAGACGAACUGCGGAGCCCACAUCACAUGUGACAGUGCAACUAUGAGACAGCAGGGGUGGACCAGCUCCCACACAGUGCCCACAGAACACCUCCACAUGCCAUUCACACUCAGCAGGCCGUGAACUCCUGCCGCUGAGAGAACUGUUUGGAACUGACCCCCUCAGGUAGUCCCUCUGAAAGCAAGGACUGAACUGAAUUGCUUGGACCAGACUGAGAACCCUGGAGCAGGAGGAACCAUGGUGGGAAGCCACGCUGGGGGCCCUGUUAGCCUGUACUGCCUGACCAAUGCACGUCCUGCUUGGGGUGCCUGAACAUUGUAAACAGUUUGUUUGCAGGGGACAUGUGUGCCCUUCUGUGCCCUCUGGGAUUGUACUUCUUGGGUGUGUGCCCUGACCGUCAUGACACUGCCUCAGCCCUGGAAGGCUUUGGGCCAGCUUCAUCCUGCUGGCCAGAGCUAUGCUGGGCCUGAAUUGAUGCCUCAGGCUGGGUUUUAAAAAAGGUUCAUAGAGAAACUUAUGGAGGAAGCCACCUGGCUUUCUAAGACAGAUCUUUGUGGCUAAUGGGAUGUAUUUUAACUGGCUAAGUCCAGGACCCCUACAGAGCAUAAUUGAGAUCAGUACUGCAGGUUGGCCUCACCCUGCUGUGUGGGGUCCUACUGAUAAUAAUUCUGUAAAGACAGCUUGGCCAAGGGCUGAGGGAGUGGAUUAUGCAGACAAGUUAACAUAGCAAGAGUGAAACUGCUAUCCAUAGAAUGGCCUGCAUGCCAGGUUAACCCUUGACUGACAUCUGAGAACUUUGAUUUGGGGAGUGUUCCUGCCCUUCCCUAAUUCAUAAGAGUGACUCAUUGUAGCUAGACUGUUUGUGCAAACAACGGGGUUUAUUUGUUGAACACCUGCUUUCUGUGUGUUUGGAAUUUUGGUACCUGCCAGGUAAAGGGUCCUAUGUGACCAGCCUCCAAUAAAAACCCGGAACUCUGAGUCCCAAAGGGCUUCCCUGGGCAGAAAUAUGGCACACAUGUUGCUGAAUUUUCAUUGCAAGGGAAAAGUGUGCUCUGUGUGACACUUCAUGGGAGGGAGAAAGAAAAAGAAAGCCUGCACAUGGAUUCCUCCAGACUCCACCUGUGUCUCUUCUCCUUAUGAUCUGGUUAUAUAUCCUUACUACAUCUUGGUAAUAAGUCUUAGCCCUGAACACAACUAUGUGCUGAAUCCCAUGAGAUCUUCUAGCAAAUCUCUGAAUAGAGUGGUGAUCUUAGGGGUCCCUCAUCACAGUCACCAAUGGAAAUCUCAGAUAUUUUCUUAUCACAUUAUAGAUAUUUGGAAAUUUCAAUUAUAUUGAUCACUGCUUUGAUAUUAAGGUAGAUAUGAGACCUGCCACUAGUUUGUUAUUUAAAGUGUUGAUAAAGAAGCCCACAUACUAUACAUUUUAAAAUAUUUUUAAAAUUGAACAUCUUUAAUAUAUUUUGACAUAAUUGAUUUCCUUUGUAAUCCUAAGUAUUUUACUUGCUGCAUUAUUUUGAGAGCUUCAUUCUGAGAAGAUAUCCAUAGGAUUCACCAGACUGCUGAAGGGGUCUGCACAAAAGACAGUUUGACUCCCUGCAGUGGGUUAUUACCCUGGACUAGAUGUAUAAUCACUAACAGGCAAUUUAU